rnacentral:rRNA from 1 species
ACCUGCGGAAGGAUCAUUAUCCAUCCAAAACCAGCUGCGGUCGCGGCCCCACGCUUACCCGUGGCGGUACGCGCCGCACGUCUGCACCCUUUUUUUACGAGUACCUUCGUUCUCCCUCGGCAGGGCAACCUGCCGUUGGAACCAUACAAAACCUUUUUUUGCAUCUAGCAUUACCUGUUCUGAUACAAACAAUCGUUACAACUUUCAACAAUGGAUCUCUUGGCUCUGGCAUCGAUGAAGAACGCAGCGAAAUGCGAUAAGUAGUGUGAAUUGCAGAAUUCAGUGAAUCAUCGAAUCUUUGAACGCACAUUGCGCCCCUUGGUAUUCCAUGGGGCAUGCCUGUUCGAGCGUCAUCUACACCCUCAAGCUCUGCUUGGUGUUGGGCGUCUGUCCCGCCUCUGCGCGUGGACUCGCCUCAAAAUCAUUGGCAGCGGUCCUUGCCUCCUCUCGCGCAGCACAUUGCGCUUCUCGAGGGGCGUGGGUCGCGUCCACGAAGCAACAUUACCGUCUUUGACCUCGGAUCAGGUAGGGAUACCCGCUGAACUUAAGCAUAUCAAU